UACGUAGGAUCCAAGCGUUAUCCGGAAUUACUGGGCGUAAAGAGUUGCGUAGGUGGCAUUAUAAGUGGAGCGUGAAAGCGUGCGGCUCAACCGCAUUAUUGCGUUCUAAACUGUAAAGCUUGAGUAUGGGAGAGGUAGAUGGAAUUUCUAGUGUAGGAGUGAAAUCCGUAGAUAUUAGAAGGAACACCGAUGGCGUAGGCAGUCUACUGGCCCAUUACUGACACUAAGGCACGAAAGCGUGGGGAGCAAACGGG
rnacentral:rRNA from 1 species